rnacentral:snRNA from 1 species
AUGAUUUCUUGGCCUUAAAGGCUAAGAUCAAAGUGUAGUAUCUGUUCUUAGCAGCUUAAUAAAUGUCCGUUUACAUUUGAAAUAUCAAAACUGCAAUAUAAACUACAAUGUAGCCACCAAAU